GUUCAGUCCUGCCAAUGCGAAGAUUGUGCGGCUUCUGAAGGUGGGUGUAAGCAUGCUGCUGCACUAUUGCUAUGGUUACACAGAAGAUCUGAGGAGCGUCCAUAACAUGUUAUUGGAAAAAGACAAAAUUAUCUAUAUGUACUUCUAGAAAAUCAUUUAUAAAAGCGAUACAAUGCUUUUAUAAAUGAAGUUAUGAAUGCUGCAAAGAAAUUCUGGAUAGAUGCUGUGUUUCCAAAAUUAAAAGAUAUUAAUUACAUGUUUUUUCUGUAACCAUUUUGUAGAUAUUUUAAAUAAAACUUUGUUUUUUAAA